CCAGUGAAUAUACAGUAUUCAGCCCCUGACUGCUUGCCCCUGGGAAUGCAGCCCAGCAUAUGAUGAGGACCCACAAACUACAUGACAAGGUCACAUGCAGGAGCAUGCGAACAGUUCCAGCUAAGUGAACACUCAGCAUCAACUGGCAGGCGUGAUGGGAUGUGCUUUCAAGAUAACCGACUCAACAUAACUCCCCGGAGCCAGCCCCGCCACUGUGGAGCAACUGUGUUAUUCUCCGCCCAAACCUGCUCAGACUGCAGAUUCAGGAGCCAAGCACUAAGGAGAGCAAGCUUAACCCAACAGCGGCGGCGGAAUGCGGGGUCUCGGUGCCGCCUCCAGUCCAGGUAGACGCAGUAGCUGAGUAGGACGACCGCGCCGCCCGCUGCCAAGCCCGCCAGGAGACCGACGCCAAGACGGACGCUGGGCAUUGGGUUGCCCUGCGAGCGUUGGGCACGGGCCAGCCACACGUGAGCAAACCCCGGGUCCCGAACCCAGGACUCGGGAAUUCUGAGCCUUCUCCAGCCUGACAAGACCAUUUCCUGUGGCCAGGGCAUGCAGUGUCCUUGGGUCGCCUGGAUUUCCCUUGCACUUCAAUUGGCCCCACGUUAUCUCAACUUAGCCCUGGUCAGGCUGGCCAGCCUCCUCCUGUAGGUCCCCAGAACACUCACAAUCCAAGUUCUCCACCCACCAUAACUCAGGAGAGGGAAAGGAAUCGGAAGUAAUAAUAUAGAAGAAAAGCAAACAAAAUCAUUUUGCCGGUGCUUUUCCCUUUAUGUUUGUUUUAUUCAGCAAACACAACAAAAGAAUACACAGAUUUUGUCUCAAAGAUC
rnacentral:lncRNA from 1 species